CAAGUGGCGACGAGGGUGGGAGUCCGGUGCUGCUCCAGUAACAGAAGGAAAUAGAAGUCAAGGCUGAGGAAAUCUAGGACGUCUUUCCUGGAGCAGGAAUCAGCAUGAAGUUUACCUGUAGCUUUAUAUGGAUCCAUACUUAUGGUUGCAAAGGAAGACUUGCCAAGGAGGAAUAGCAGGAGCAGCUGAGCGAUGGCUCUUCAGAGGACUUGGAGGUUUUGGACACCGACAGCUCCGAAGGACCGAGUGGUUUGGGCCCAGUCUGUUUUUGCCCAGACACAAAACCAGAUGCUCCACAGAAUGCCGAAACCGCGGGGGAUGCUUAUUCUAUAGGCCUGUACUAUCUAAAGUUGAGGGAGAAAUUCGGUAUUAAGCCGGUGCGAGUUCAUAACCGUAAAACAGUGAUGCGUGCAAUUGUGCGAGCAGCUGUGCACGGAAUCAUCAAGCACUGCCUAAGAGAAAUACAAAAUGAGGAUUGUCCUGGGUGCGCCAUAGAUGCCACCGGUCACAGGUAUCAUGCCUGUGUGUACUGGUCUUUAGAUGAUGUGAAUUGUAAAAUUAAAGAAAUUAGCGGUAGUUUGUGUAUGGAGAGUGUGUUAAAUAUCAUCAUCACGCUGGGAUAUGCACUGCAGUGCCUCUGUUUAACCCAGGAACAUUUAACCCAGCUCUAGGGGCAGAAUUGGUGGACAAAGUGACAAAGGCCGAGAACCCAAAUAGUGUUUUAGAUGAAAUCAUCAAACCGACAGAUAAAUGUUUAAUGCAAAAUGUUGAACAUCUUCUUCGUUCAGCAAAUUACAAAAUCUUGCUAAGAAAAAACACUAA